UCCCAGCAGUCCAAGUCGCAGCCACAUUUGUUGGGUCUAAAACAUCCGUAGCUUGCUUCGUAAGUCGUCUGUGAAAUCCGAUCUCUUAAAGAUCGGGCGUGCACACGAUACUGCGGAGCUUGAGACCGGGAGACGCAGAGAGUACGAUACGGGGAGCGGUAAAAUGUGUUGAUCCGUAUUGGACUAACAAUAGCGAAGGCACUCUGCGAGAACGGAUCUGACAGUGAGGGAUGAAGGCGAGGGGCGCAAAGUG
rnacentral:rRNA from 1 species